rfam:Firmicutes bacterium ML8_F2 scaffold_2, whole genome shotgun sequence.
GGGUAGGUGGCGGAGCGGUCAAACGCACGAGACUGUAAAUCUCGCGUCUUCGGACUACGGGGGUUCGAAUCCCUCCCUGCCCA